UGGGCUAUCGCCAAACGGUAAGGCACAGGAUUUUGAUUCCUGCAUUCCGGGUUCGAAUCCCGGUAACCUAA
rnacentral:tRNA from 1 species